rnacentral:rRNA from 1 species
UUUAUGGAGAGUUUGAUCCUGGCUCAGGAUGAACGCUGGCGGCGUGCCUAAUACAUGCAAGUCGAGCGAACAGAUAAGGAGCUUGCUCCUUUGACGUUAGCGGCGGACGGGUGAGUAACACGUGGGUAACCUACCUAUAAGACUGGAAUAACUCCGGGAAACCGGGGCUAAUGCCGGAUAACAUGUUGAACCGCAUGGUUCUACAGUGAAAGACGGUCUUGCUGUCACUUAUAGAUGGACCCGCGCC